rnacentral:rRNA from 1 species
CCUUUACUGUAGCUUUGUAUUGGACUUUGACAAUCAGAUCUGUGUAGGAAAAAAAUAGUGGGAGGCUUUGAAGUGAUGUCGCUAGAUGUUCAUGGAGCCAACGUUGAAAAUACCACCCUGGUGUGGUUUGAGGUCUCUAACCUAGGUCCAUUAUCUGGAUCGGGGACAGUUGCAUGGUAGGCAGUUUGACUGGGGCGGUCUCCUCCCAAAGCGUAACGGAGGAGUUCGAAGGUACGCUAAGGUACGUUCGGACAUCGUGGCUAAUAGUGCAAUGGCAUAAGCGUGCUUAACUGCGAGACUGACAAGUCGAGCAGAUGCGAAAGCAGGACAUAGUGAUCCGGUGGUUCUGUAUGGAAGGGCCAUCGCUCAACGGAUAAAAGGUA